GAUGAACGCUGGCGGCGUGCCUAAUACAUGCAAGUCGAGCGAACGGACGAGAAGCUUGCUUCUCUGAUGUUAGCGGCGGACGGGUGAGUAACACGUGGAUAACCUACCUAUAAGACUGGGAUAACUUCGGGAAACCGGAGCUAAUACCGGAUAAUAUUUUGAACCGCAUGGUUCAAAAGUGAAAGACGGUCUUGCUGUAACUUAUAGAUGGAUCCGCGCUGCAUUAGCUAGUUGGUAAGGUAACGGCUUACCAAGGCAAGGAAGCAUAGCCGACCGGAGAGGGUAUCGGCCAAACUGGGAAUUAGAACCGGACCAAAAUCCCUAGGGGGGCCAGCGGUAGGAAUACUUCCGCAAAGGGGCAAACCCUGCCGGACCAAGGCGGCGGAAGGAAUAAGGGUCUCGGAUACGAAAGACUCGUUGUAUGUGGAAGAACGGAUUGGUAGUGGACAGUGCACAUCGUGACGGUACCUAAUCAGAAAGCCACGGCUAACUACGUG
rnacentral:rRNA from 1 species